AGUGAACGCUGGCGGUAGGCCUAACACAUGCAAGUCGAACGGCAGCACAGUAAGAGCUUGCUCUUACGGGUGGCGAGUGGCGGACGGGUGAGGAAUACAUCGGAAUCUACUUUUUCGUGGGGGAUAACGUAGGGAAACUUACGCUAAUACCGCAUACGACCUACGGGUGAAAGCAGGGGAUCUUCGGACCUUGCGCGAUUGAAUGAGCCGAUGUCGGAUUAGCUAGUUGGCGGGGUAAAGGCCCACCAAGGCGACGAUCCGUAGCUGGUCUGAGAGGAUGAGCAGCCACACUGGAACUGAGACACGGUCCAGACUCCUACGGGAGGCAGCAGUGGGGAAUAUUGGACAAUGGGCGCAAGCCUGAUCCAGCCAUACCGCGUGGGUGAAGAAGGCCUUCGGGUUGUAAAGCCCUUUUGUUGGGAAAGAAAAGAAGCAGAUUAAUACCCCGCUGUUCUGACGGUACCCAAAGAAUAAGCACCGGCUAACUUCGUG
rnacentral:rRNA from 1 species